CGGAACUAGGAGAACACUACGG
rnacentral:siRNA from 1 species